rnacentral:rRNA from 1 species
AUGUUCCCCCCUGGCCCUAGUAAUGCUAGUACUUCACAGAGGCAGGGUUUUGGUAUUGAUGUUGUUGUUUCUGCGUUGGAGCGCGCUGAGCAUAUUUUUAGAAAUGUGUGUUCUGAGCUGCAAAAGCUCCCAACGACAGUUGAGCAUCUGAGUUGUAUCAGUGGUAUCCUUCCUGAAGGUCAUCAAUUUAACACUGAGGAAGCAGUGGACUAUAUUGAGAUGGAGAGAAUUUUAAUUGGUGAUAUGUGUGACGGUGCUGUUGAUCUAGUUCAGAGCUCGGUUCGUCUAUUGAACAACAUGAAGCGUUUCAAAAGUAUGCAAGACUCUCGCUGCAAGCCAUAUGAAGAAAGUGCAAAAGUUGUUACCAGCCAGACUGAGCAGGAUGUGGCUGCUGCCAUCGACAGCAGGGCUGGUGAUGGUACCGAGGCUAAUGUUCCUGAUCAUGAAACGAAUGAUGUUGGCUUGGAGCGCGCUGUUGAUGAUAUUGAGCAGGAUGAGGCUGCCGCCACAGACAGCAGGGCUGAUGAUGGUACUGAGGUUAAUGUUUCUGAUCACCAUACGAACGAUGUUGGCUUGGAGCAGCCUGUUGUUGAUGAGACCAGUCAUAAUGUUGACGCUGCUGUUGACCGUGGAGUUAAUGAUCCAUCUACUGAUAAAUGCAAGGGUCCUAUUGUUGGCGACGAGCCUUGUUUGCAUGUUGGUGAUGUUGCUUUUAAUGUUAGCAACAGCAAGAUCGAUGAUGUUUCUGUGAAUGCUUCUAAGAUGACUGAUGUUGAGCGUGAGGCUGUUGUUAGUGGUGGAGAUGAUGCUCAUGGUGUUCCAUUGAGUAGUGGGCGCGAUGUUGGUGCCAAAGUUGCUGAUGAGGAUUUUGGUGCUGCUAGCAUACUUGAUGGCAAACCGUUUGGUGUUGGUAUUGUUGGGAAUGAAAAUCUUUUUGAUUUUGAAGAUUUCCCGCCUGGAGGGCUUGAUUAUGGUGAUGCAUUGCAAGAUGCUUCUAGCGUGGAGGAGGUGCCAUCCGAGGAUGAUGAUUUACUUCUGUCGAUUUCUUUUGGCCCCUUGAUGCAGGAGGCGCUCGUGUCGUCCCAGGAUUUUCUUUCCACAGACCCUGAAAGCGCAGCGAUAUUGGUGUCCUCUCAGGAUGUGCCCGUGCCAUCGUCAAACCCUGAAACUGGAGGCAUAUUGGUCUCAUCGCAGGAACUACCAUCGUCGUCAAACACUGAUAGUGCAGAAAGUGGAAAUGUUGUUAAGGUUGAUAUGUUUUUCUUCGCUAUUACGAGGUUGCGCAUGAACCGUGCAAAAUGUCACAAGCCAAUGUUUCAAAAUAAAGAAUGUGAUGCCAGUGUUGGUUCUAUUGCUAAAGCGUUUGUCCCCACUGGCAUGCUCAACUCAGACAGUGCUGACGUUGUUUUAUAUUCUCUAUGUUCGAAGUACCGAGACACUGACAAGUUGAUAGUUCCUAAAUGGGUGACGACCAAGAUCCGUGAUGGAAAUAUUGACUCCAAUGUGCUAAUUGGUUUACGAGAUCGUGUGAGUGGCUGGAUCUUAAUGAGCAUGACUACAAGAUCUUUGGUAGCCAGUUCUCGGAGCUCGAGCGCGUAUCUUUUGAUCUUAGCCAGUGGCAUUCUCCAGAAAAGACAAGGUCUAGUGUUCUUAAGGGGCGGUUGGGAGCUCUGA